GCGCGUUCCUCCUCUCUGUUGCUGCCAACCUAGUAGCAGCCCACCCUGCCGCCACCCCGCCGCCGGCCGGCUGGCCGCCGCGCCGUCGCCAGUCUCCGCCGCUGAUCCCUCGCAUCUCGGCCGACGCCGUGGACCGACGCCCUCCUCGCCCUCCUAGCUCAAGUCUAUUUAUAGAGAAGUGUUAAGUAUGGCUGCCGAAUGGACUGAUGAGAACACCCGGAUCAUCGUCGAGUUGUUUGUCAAACAAUUGUGGGCUGGAAAUAUGCCAAACACUCAUUUGACACCCAAUGCAUAUGACGAUGUGGGAAAGGAGUUCCUGAUGAGAACUGGACUUGAGUACACGCAUAAGCAAGUGAGAAACAAAUGGGACAAGUUAAAACGUGAGUACAACCUAUUCAAGCAGCUCAAGCACCGCGAGACGGGUGGGGGUGGGACUUUGAGAAAAACACGGUGAAACAAGAUAAUGAGUGGUGGAAGAAGGCAAAAGUUGACCUCCCAGGUUGUGGCAAGUUCAAGAAGCAUGGACUUCGUAAUGAAGAAGGCUUGCGCCUAUUGUUUGAGGAUAUCAGUGUCGAUGGUAGUGACCAUUGGAACCCCGCAUCUGGCAUGCCUCCCCCCUCUAGUGCAGCAUUAAAAGACGCCUUGAAUGUCGAUGGAAUCACUGGUCUGGAUUUGGAGGAUGAUACCGAGGAGCAAGCAUCUCCGACAAUAGCUAGUGGAUCUAAAGUGAGGCUUGGGAUCACGAUUUCGGAGAAGAACAAGAGACCGAAGACCGCACAAGUGAUGCAGGAGGAGAUUAGAAAGAUUAGUUCCAUUGCCCAUGCUUCACACACAUCGUUUCAGUCUUUCCUACAGAAAGAUGAGACCACCUCUGUUGCCUCUACGAUGGAUUUAGUUCGUGCUUGCAGCGCAAUAGAAGGCACAGAUGAGCACUUCAUUGCUACUGAGCUCUUUAUAAAGAGGGAGCAAAGGGAGAUGUUCCUGCACAUGACAGCUGACUCUCAAAAGGGUUGGUUGCGUAGGAGGUUUGACCUCAAGUAUGGGAACUAGUUUGUUCCAUCUUAUCUAUUGAUAAUAUUUGCUUAUGUUCUAUGCUAUCGAACAAUAUUUAUGCCUAUGUGUUGGCGAACCUAGUAUUAUGUUGUGCUAUCGGAACAAUAUUCAUGCCUAUGUGUUGGCGAACCUAGUAUUAUUUGUGCUAUCGGAAAAAUAUUCAUGCCUAUGUAUUGGUGAACCUAUUAUUUUGUUGUGCAUUGGGAAAAUAUUUAUGCCUAUGUUGGUGAACCUACUAUUUUGUUGUGCCUUGGGAAAAUAUUUAUGCACAUGUUGAUGAAUCCAUUAUUAUGUUGAUGCUAACUAUUGUUUGCUAUGGC